rnacentral:rRNA from 1 species
UACGAAGGGUGCAAGCGUUACUCGGAAUUACUGGGCGUAAAGCGUGCGUAGGUGGUUUGUUAAGUCUGAUGUGAAAGCCCUGGGCUCAACCUGGGAAUUGCAUUGGAUACUGGCAGGCUAGAGUGCGGUAGAGGAUGGCGGAAUUCCCGGUGUAGCAGUGAAAUGCGUAGAGAUCGGGAGGAACAUCUGUGGCGAAAGCGGCUCACUGGACCAUUACUGACGCUGAGGCACGAAAGCUAGGGGAGCAAACAGG